AUUGAACGCUGGCGGAAUGCUUUACACAUGCCAGUCGAACGGCAGCACGGGGGCAACCCUGGUGGCGAGUGGCGAACGGGUGAGUAAUACAUCGGAACGUGCCCGGUCGUGGGGAUAACGUAGCGAAAGUUACGCUAAUACCGCAUACGAUCUGAGGAUGAAAGCGGGGGACCUUCGGGCCUCGCGCGAUCGGAGCGGCCGAUGUCAGAUUAGGUAGUUGGUGGGGUAAAGGCCUACCAAGCCGACGAUCUGUAGCUGGUCUGAGAGGACGACCAGCCACACUGGGACUGAGACACGGCCCAGACUCCUACGGGAGGCAGCAGUGGGGAAUUUUGGACAAUGGGCGCAAGCCUGAUCCAGCCAUUCCGCGUGCAGGACGAAGGCCUUCGGGUUGUAAACUGCUUUUGUAUGGAACGAAAAGGCUCUGGCUAAUACCUGGGGCUCAUGACGGUACCGUAAGAAUAAGCACCGGCUAACUACGUG
rnacentral:rRNA from 1 species